rnacentral:tRNA from 1 species
UCUAAUAUGGCAGAAUAGUGCAAUGAACUUAAGAUUCAUAUAUGGGAAUACUUUCCCUAUUAGAA